CUGUCCUUCAGGAAACACCUACUCUGGAUGUUCGGCACUCCUGUCUUUGCCGGUAAACCAACAUACAAGCACACCCAGAGAGAGGAGAGUGGACAGGCGGUGAGGAACAGUCUAACUCAGCAGGGGUUCGUGAAGGCUUAUGAAGUGAAGGCAGAUCAGAGCUAGAAGUCUUAACCCUGUCCUUGAACUUUACCUACAUCAUCCCACCAAACACUCCAAUGCCCCAGGGAUCAGGCCUUUAUCUGUUUCCCAGGU